GACGAACGCUGGCGGCGUGCCUAAUACAUGCAAGUAGAACGCUGAAGGAGGAGCUUCCUUCUCUGGAUGAGUUGCGAACGGGUGAGUAACGCGUAGGUAACCUGCCUGGUAGCGGGGGAUAACUAUUGGAAACGAUAGCUAAUACCGCAUACGAGUAGAUGUUGCAUGACAUUUGCUUAAAAGGUCCAAUUCCAUCACUACCAGAUGGACCUGCGUUGUAUUAGCUAGUUGGUGGGGUAACGGCUCACCAAGGCGACUAUACAUAGCCGACGUGAGAGGGUGAUCGGCCACACUGGGACUGAGACACGGCCCAGACUCCUACGGGAGGCAGCAGUAGGGAAUCUUCGGCAAUGGACGGAAGUCUGACCGAGCAACGCCGCGUGAGUGAAGAAGGUUUUCGGAUCGUAAAGCUCUGUUGUAAGAGAAGAACGGGUGUGAGAGUGGAAAGUUCACACUGUGACGGUAUCUUACCAGAAAGGGACGGCUAACUACGUG
rnacentral:rRNA from 1 species